CCAGGUGCUCUUUAAAAUAUGACUCAUGAUGUUUAUAUUUAUUCCUGUUCACUGAUAACCAUUGGAGAUCGUCAAAUACACGUUUUCCUGGGAAAUGGAGUCAAGCUCCCUGGUCAAACCGAAUAAGCCAGAGGAAAAGCCUGGUUGAAGAACUACAAUACCCAUUAUACACUUUGCCAUUUUAAAACGAAACGUAAACGUUAAUGAUAUGAAUGUAAACAUUUUGCUGAGCAGCGAUUUUGCUUGUCAUUAAAAGAUUGGCAGUUACAAAAUACAAGAAUAGUUUGACAUGAUAUUGAAUUAGUUUUGAAAUAAUCCGAAUUCUCUGGGAAAUGUAAGAAGAAAGCCCCUGGACCAACAGAAUGAGUCCAAUGCAAAACCUAGUUGAUCAACUACAUUACCCACAAUGCACCAGGUAAGCGAUGGUAAGUGCGCCUUUAGCUAGCUACUAUAAGGAGCUAAAGGUGUUUCCAAACAGCGAUUUUGUUCAGCAUUAAAACGUUAAUGGUUGAUCAAACGGAAGAAUAUGUUGACAGGAUGUGAAAUUAUCCAACCGUUCCGUUUCGAGCAGUUAAAGUCCAGCGAUAAAGUGAAGCCGACACCGCGCUUGUGGCCGAGGCACCGGAGUGAAGUCGAUCUCCCGUCCGUCACGUGCCGGAAAACGAAGAACUUCGUCCGGCUGGCUCUUCUGGGAUGCGGCCAUCUUUGCGAAGGCCUGACAAGCGUUAGUCCUCCACCCAGUCCUCCGAAGUGACGUCGAUGUCCUCAGAGCCGGUCUGCUUGGUGGCCACGCGCCACCUGUUGAUGUGGUGGUUGCCCUUCUUCUGCUGCGCUUCCGGCCCGUCCUCCUCCAGCUUCUGCCGCUUGUACUUGGUCCGCCGGUUCUGGAACCACACCUUCACCUGUGUGCACACGAGGAGACACACACUUCAGCAAGACAACUGGCUAAGGUUGCUGCUCGACACGGACAGAACUACUUUUACGGAGUUCAAAGUCUACUCUCAUUGGGGAGCUACGGAACUGCAGUCUGGUCUGGCUGCCCACAAUAACUCCGACUCCCACUCCUGCAUCGCGCCCACAGUGGACGCACCACGAACGGCGAAGGAGGAAGCAGAAGCAGAAGCAAGGCGUGCGUACAUACAUAUACACACACACACACACACGCCACCACAGCCGGUCCGUGAAAAAAAAUGCCGACUCCUAACCGGUCCGCGGUGCAAAGAAGGUUGGGGAACACUGUCCUACAGUAUAUCUGCAUUACUGUUUUUAUGAUCUCGGGCAUUAUGAAAUGAACAUAAAGCAAGUGAUUCUUAAUCUUUAAGUCUUCCAUUCAUGCAAACUGCUGACUCGUCAGCUGUCUUUUUAAUUGGCCAUUAGGCCUCAUCGACACACACAUCACUCACGCACACCUUCAUCCAAUAACAGCGUUAAAUAUGUCACACGCUAUUUUGGACUUGUGCAAGUAGGGAAAGUUGAGGGUGUAAAUGCCAUCAUUACGACUAGCAAUGAAAAGUCUGCUUUGACCGCAUGAUGUGAUAGCGAUGCAUUGCAAUUUCUUCGAUUCUUCCACGUCGACGUUUUGGCGUUUCAUUUGUCAAAAUAUUUGGCAAGGAUUCAUUCGCCGACAUUUAA